rnacentral:sRNA from 1 species
GGCGAUUCUUCCCACAGAGUUGUGAAGCGAAAGGCUUACAAUUAAAAGGAAGAAAAAAAAAUAAAGAUAAUUCGGGGGUACAAUUGACAAAGCGUGUGGGUCGCUCAGCCUCCAGCAGUAACUGCUGAUCUCCAGUUCUUGGGGGGUUCCGGUGAGAAGAACGCCCCUACUGCGGUACUGAAGAAGCGGCAGGAGGAGAUGCGGCCCCUGGACAUAGACGAGGUGGAAGCGCCUGAGGAAGUGGAGGUGCUGGAGCCCGAGGAGGAUUUCGAGCAGUUCCUGCUCCCGGUCAUCAACGAGAUGCGCGAGGACAUCGCGUCUCUUAUACGCGAGCACGGGCGGGCGUACCUGCGGACCAGGAGCAAGCUGUGGGAGAUGGACAAUAUGCUUAUCCAGAUCAAAACGCAGGUGGAGGCCUCGGAGGAGAGCGCCCUCAAUCACGUGCAGCACCCGAGUGGCGAAGCCGACGAGAGAGUGUCGGAGUUGUGCGAGAAGGCUGAGGAGAAAGCCAAGGAGAUUGCGAAGAUGGCAGAGAUGCUGGUCGAGCUCGUCUGGCGAAUAGAGAGAAGCGAGUCUUCUUGAAGGACGAGAUCGGUGGUAAGGUCGGAAACUAGCUGGAGCUUGGAUGGAACUCAGUAGUCGCCCUAAACAUGGUUAAACCGCGCCCUGUAAAAAGUUAUGUUCUAGGCCUGCAUCCCCCAUUUUAUUGCAUCAAAAAUUAAGCAUUGGGAACAAAGUUGGGGUCAAGAGGAAAGAAUGCGUGCUGGUUUUGUUAGGUGUUAGUAUGCCGUUUUUUUGUGGCCUCUCCCUCCCACACUGGUAAUUAGAGAAAAAUAAAAGUAACUUAGGGUUUGUUUUUGUGAAACAUAAAAGUCAAUUCUAAUAGGGCAGUCGCCAGAAGUAGACCUGUCUAGGCACUAAGGGAGUUUGGGGAAAGCCAAAGAAGACCUAGGCUGUAGAGCACAGUGGAACACAGGCUGAGAACGCAGGGAAAGAGAAAUAAAGAGUAAAGCCAGAGGCCAUUACCUGAAAUUUCCAGAUCGUUCUAUGAGACAGGUAUGUCAGAGAACCGUGUCUCAAAGAAGUGGCAUUUUUCUGGGUGGUUCACAUUUAUUUUUAACAUCAGGAUAUGGAACUUUGAGAGUCAAUGUCUUCAUGGUAAAUUUCUCCCAAUUGUGCUUUAGGUUCACAGCUGAGGACUGUAGUCAACUGGUAAGGAUGAACUGACACCUUGAGGAAACAAACAGCUUGUCAUUUUCUCUGUUUUGUUUUUGUAUGUUUUUUACCCCCAUGUAACAGUCUCCCUUAUGGUCAGUGAUUGAUGACCUCGAUAUGGAUUUAGAUCAUCAAAUGUGUUUGGUUCUGGAAAUAUAACUUUUGUCGAAGAAAUACUCUCAGAAGAGAAAUGGGGCUUAAUUAAGUUGUUUUCGUGGUCACGUUUAUUCUUGUUACUUCGCUGUGUUUUUGAAAUGUUGGGCAUGGCCUUGUAUUUUGCUGUUACCUUUGUGACCUGAUUGUUUUUUGGAACACUUCAAGACUUGGGAUCAGAAUCUUCCAACUUCAGAGGUGCAAUGGAAGACACUACGCUACUUGGUUGAGCCUGGUGAAGAAUGUAUUAAUGAGACUGCUUUGCAUAAAGCCGGGAAGAACGAGAAGACAGUUGGAGAUGGAAGAUGGUUUUGUAUAUAUUUUGGAACUUUAGUUCCUCUGUGAGACGAAAGAGGAGAGUUUUGUGGCACAUUGUCUGAUAUAUAUUGUGUAACCUGUCAGGUGAGUUGAUUUAGACAACAUAGCUGACCUUUUAUGACAAGGCAGUUUGAAUAGGGACUAUUGUAAUACCUUCACACAUUGUAGGAGCAUCAGAGAAUGGCAUUGAAGAGACAGUCUACAGAGAGCUUUAAGAGGCCAGAGAAAGGAAAAGACAUUAUCAGGGCCUGGAAAGUCUCUUCCAGUUCAUCAGGGUAGUAGACCUGUCAGAUUGGAGGUCAAAGUCAAAAGUAUAAUAAGUGUUAAUUUGCCUUGAAAAACAGAGACCUAAAAAGCCUUUUUUAAGAAAUAAAUUUUUUUGUUCACAUGACCAAAGCCCCUCCUGUGUGUGUUAAUAAAAGAAUCAUAAACAAA